rnacentral:rRNA from 1 species
CAGCAGCCGGGUAAAACGAAGGGGGCUAGCGUUGCUCGGAUUUACUGGGCGUAAAGCGCACGUAGGCGGAUCGAUCAGUCAGGGGUGAAAUCCCAGAGCUCAACUCUGGAACUGCCUUUGAUACUGUCGAUCUGGAGUAUGGAAGAGGUGAGUGGAAUUCCGAGUGUAGAGGUGAAAUUCGUAGAUAUUCGGAGGAACACCAGUGGCGAAGGCGGCUCACUGGUCCAUUACUGACGCUGAGGCGCGAAAGCGUGGGGAGCAAACAGGAUUAGAUACCCCGGUAGUCCCUGUCUCUUAUACA